GCACACUGGUGCACUGUACAUUCAGUUUUAUUGUCAAUUCUUAAAGCAAAAUCUGCAAAUAAUGCUGCAAUAUCAAUAAAAUUUAUGAAUAAAUUUCAUACAAUUGAGAUAAAAAAAAAAACCUUAACAAUGGAUAUCAUGUGCUUUGCAAGAGGAAUGUAAUAAAGUACAAAGAUUCUUAUAUUAUAGAGCUCUAAGAAAAGUAAUGUAUGAGUAAAUAUUAAGUUUUAAUAACAGAAAAACAAAGGAAGAGGCAUGAAGACAGAGAAAAAGAGGAAUAAUACACACAGAUGUAACUAUGGAAUUUUUAGUUAAAAUAUGAAAUGUUAGACAAUAAUAUGAUCAGAGCUUGGCAGUAAUUGGCAAAUUUCAAUAAGUGAACUUCUAAAAGGUAAACUUUGGCUUUUAACCUUCCGAUUGGCUUUGAAAGAGGAAACACUAUUACAUUAACUUUACACUGAAAUUUCAUUACCAUCACACUACCACUGCUAUUUUAUGGCCUCUUUUAAUGCCGAUGUGAGUUGGACAGAUCACCAAGGUCUGAGCCAGUUCUUAAUUGGAAUUACUGCCUUCCAAGACACUUUGCAUUGCUGGUAUAUUCCAUUUUGGCAUGGUUUUUACAGAUGUUUUCAAGGCUAGGGUGUGCUGUUUCCACUACUUUUAUCACCACUGCUGUGCCAACUUUUAUUACCACUGCUGUGCUACUACCACUACCAUCACUUGACUAUGAUGCUAAGAUGAUUUAUAGGUGGAAAUAUAUCCUUGAGAGUGAUCCCCUCCACUCUUUAUUCUCUCUCACUCUCUCUCUCUUACAAACACACACAAACAUACAUGUCCAAAGGAACACAUGUUACAGCUAUUCAUUAAAGGACAGAAUGACUUUGGUUGGACCAAUUGUUUCGAUCCUUUCUGCCACUAAGCAACAGUGACUUAGAAGUUGAAUAUAUUAUCAGGUCAAGUAAAGCAAGCAAACAGAUGUGUUCAAUGCUGUAAUGAAAAAGCAGCAAGGAAGGCUUGAAUAGCUGAAAUGUCCUGUAUACAUAUGACAUGUGUGAGUGUGUUUUAUUAACCUAAUAAUUUUAUAGUAUUCUUACUUUGACUCUUUUACUUGUGUCAGCCAUUGGGCUGUGACCAUGCUGGGGCACUGCCCCAAAGAUUUUAGCUAAUCACCUACUUAUUUAUAGUUUGGUACUUAUAGUUAUCUGUCUAUAAUGCUCAACUAAGAUAUAAAAUAUAAACACAAACAAA